rnacentral:rRNA from 1 species
ACCGGCUUUUUGGGAUUCGCUCCACCUUACGGUAUCGCAGCCCUCUGUACCGGCCAUUGUAGCAUGCGUGAAGCCCAAGACAUAAGGGGCAUGAUGAUUUGACGUCAUCCCCACCUUCCUCCGAGUUGACCCCGGCAGUCUCCCAUGAGUCCCCGGCAUAACCCGCUGGCAACAUAGGACGAGGGUUGCGCUCGUUGCGGGACUUAACCCAACAUCUCACGACACGAGCUGACGACAACCAUGCACCACCUGUGUACGAGUGUCCAAAGAGAACCCCGUCUCGGGGGCUUUCUCGUACAUGUCAAGCCUUGGUAAGGUUCUUCGCGUUGCAUCGAAUUAAUCCGCAUGCUCCGCCGCUUGUGCGGGCCCCCGUCAAUUCCUUUGAGUUUUAGCCUUGCGGCCGUACUCCCCAGGCGGGGCACUUAAUGCGUUAGCUGCGGCACGGAACUCGUGGAAUGAGCCCCACACCUAGUGCCCAACGUUUACGGCAUGGACUACCAGGGUAUCUAAUCCUGUUCGCUCCCCAUGCUUUCGCUCCUCAGCGUCAGUUGCGGCCCAGAGACCUGCCUUCGCCAUCGGUGUUCCUCCUGAUAUCUGCGCAUUCCACCGCUACACCAGGAAUUCCAGUCUCCCCUACCGCACUCUAGUCUGCCCGUACCCGAUGCAAGCCCGAGGUUGAGCCUCGGGAUUUCACACCAGACGCGACAGACCGCCUACGAGCUCUUUACGCCCAAUAAUUCCGGACAACGCUUGCGCCCUACGUAUUACCGCGGCUGCUGGCACGUAGUUAGCCGGCGCUUCUUCUGCAGGUACCGUCACUUGCGCUUCUUCCCUGCUGAAAGAGGUUUACAACCCGAAGGCCGUCAUCCCUCACGCGGCGUCGCUGCAUCAGGCUUGCGCCCAUUGUGCAAUAUUCCCCACUGCUGCCUCCCGUAGGAGUCUGGGCCGUGUCUCAGUCCCAGUGUGGCCGGUCGCCCUCUCAGGCCGGCUACCCGUCGACGCCUUGGUAGGCCAUCACCCCACCAACAAGCUGAUAGGCCGCGAGCCCAUCCCCCACCGAAAAACUUUCCAACCCACACCAUGCGAUGCGAGCUCAUAUCCGGUAUUAGACCCCGUUUCCAAGGCUUAUCCCGAAGUGGAGGGCAGGUUGCUCACGUGUUACUCACCCGUUCGCCACUGAUCCACCCAGCAAGCUGGGCUUCACCGUUCGA